rnacentral:rRNA from 1 species
CAGUCGUACCGGCGGAAAAUCAGCUCUUCGAGUGCGAACUUGUGGGCGUACGUGAGCUUUAACCAGCCUCGUUGUUUGCGAUGUUUGUGCUUUUUUGGGUGUUACUUUUUUCGUAUGGUAGGCCAACGUCAGUCUCGGUCACCAUAAAAUGAUUGGAGGAAUGUAGCUUUGAUCUCGUAUCGAAGUGUUAUAGACUUC